GACGAACGCUGGCGGCGUGCUUAACACAUGCAAGUCGAGCGGUAAGGCCCUUUCGGGGGUACACGAGCGGCGAACGGGUGAGUAACACGUGGGUGACCUGCCUUCAGCUCUGGGAUAAGCCUGGGAAACUGGGUCUAAUACCGGAUAUGACUCCAUGAUGCAUGUUGUGGGGUGGAAAGCUUUUGCGGCUGGAGAUGGGCCCGCGGCCUAUCAGCUUGUUGGUGGGGUGAGGCCUACCAAGGCGACGACGGGUAGCCGGCCUGAGAGGGCGACCGGCCACACUGGGACUGAGACACGGCCCAGACUCCGUAC
rnacentral:rRNA from 1 species